rnacentral:rRNA from 1 species
GUAGCGAAAUUCCUUGUCGGGUAAGUUCCGACCUGCACGAAUGGCGUAACGACUUCCCCGCUGUCUCGACCAGGAGCUCGGCGAAAUUGCAGUACGAGUAAAGAUGCUCGUUAAGCGCAGAAGGACGAAAAGACCCCGGGACCUUUACUAUACCUUGGUAUUGGCAUCAGGUGCGGAUUGUGUAGCAUAGGCGGGAGACUGUGA